CCUACGGGCGACAGCAGUGAGGAAUAUUGGUCAAUGGGCGGGAGCCUGAACCAGCCAAGUCGCGUGAGGGAAGACGGUCCUAUGGAUUGUAAACCUCUUUAGGCGGGGAGCAAUGCCGGGCACGUGUGCCCGGAGGGAGAGUACCCGCAGAAUAAGCAUCGGCUAACUCCGUGCCAGCAGCCGCGGUAAUACGGAGGAUGCGAGCGUUAUCCGGAUUUAUUGGGUUUAAAGGGUGCUUAGGCGGAUUUUUAAGGCAGCGGUAAAAUGUCCGGGCUCAACCCGGGCCGGCCGUUGAAACUGGGGAGCUUGAGUGGGCGAGAAGUAUGCGGAAUGCGUGGUGUAGCGGUGAAAUGCAUAGAUAUCACGCAGAACUCCGAUUGCGAAGGCAGCAUACCGGCGCCCGACUGACGCUGAGGCACGAAAGCGUGGGGAUCGAACAGGAUUAGAUACCCGGGUAGUC
rnacentral:rRNA from 1 species